rnacentral:rRNA from 1 species
GCAAGUCGAACGGGAAAAGGGGGCAACCCUGUGAGUACAGUGGCGUACGGGUGAGUAACACGUGACUACCUACCCUCGAGUGGGGGAUAACCCCGGGAAACCGGGGCUAAUACCGCAUAACAUCGCAAGAUCAAAGGAGCAAUUCGCUUGAGGAGGGGGUCGCGGCUGAUUAGCUAGUUGGUGAGGUAACGGCCCACCAAGGCGAUGAUCGGUAGCCGGCCUGAGAGGGCGCACGGCCACACUGGAACUGAAACACGGUCCAGACUCCUACGGGAGGCAGCAGUGGGGAAUUUUGCGCAAUGGGGGAAACCCUGACGCAGCAACGCCGCGUGGAGGAUGAAGUCCCUUGGGACGUAAACUCCUUUCGACCCGGACGAUAAUGACGGUACGGGUGGAAGAAGCACCGGCUAACUUCGUGCCAGCAGCCGCGGUAAUACGAGGGGUGCGAGCGUNGUUCGGAAUUAUUGGGCGUAAAGGGCGCG